UCUGUGGUCCUCUGUCUUCAGGGAGGUGCGUUUGCUCUAAGAGCUGGCGACCGUGUCUGGGUUAGCGCUGGCAUCCUGAGGAAUGUAGCUCCCCUGGGAUACCUUAUAGCACAAAAGGUGACGGCUUGUGACGAAAAGGAGUAAAUAGCUGUGUGGUGUCUUGGAAAGAACAUGGUUUCUAGAGUCAGAUAGAGCUGAUUUCAGAUUCCGGCCCUGCUACUUUGCUGAAAAUCUUUGGUGUCUUCCAAAGAUGAGAAGUUUGGGGUUGAAAAAGAAAACAAAAAACCCAAUGAAAAAUGGGCAAAUAUUUGAACAGACGCUUCACCAAAGAUGAUAAAUGGGUAACGAAUAAGCUCAUAAAAAGAUUUUCAAUAUUAUUAGUUAUUUUGGAAAUGAAAAUUAAAACCACAAUGGUACACUUUGUAAAACAGUUCAGCAGUUUCUUCAAAGAGUAAAUAAAUAUAUGUCUAUCGUCUGAUCCAGUCAUUCCUAGGGAUUUACCCGAGAGAAAUGAAAGCAUGUGUCUACACGAAGAAUUCUACAGGAAUGUUCAUAGUAGCUUCAUUUGUAACAGGCAAAAACUGGAAACAAUCAAAAUGUCCAUUAAUAGGUGAAUGGACCCUUAUGG